ACGGGUGAGUAACACGUGGGAACGUACCCUUUGGUUCGGAAUAACGCUGGGAAACUAGCGCUAAUACCGGAUACGCCCUUUUGGGGAAAGGCUUGCUGCCGAAGGAUCGGCCCGCGUCUGAUUAGCUAGUUGGUGGGGUAAUGGCCUACCAAGGCGACGAUCAGUAGCUGGUCCGAGAGGAUGAUCAGCCACACUGGGACUGAGACACGGCCCAGACUCCUACGGGAGGCAGCAGUGGGGAAUAUUGGACAAUGGGCGCAAGCCUGAUCCAGCCAUGCCGCGUGAGUGAUGAAGGCCUUAGGGUUGUAAAGCUCUUUUGUCCGGGACGAUAAUGACGGUACCGGAAGAAUAAGCCCCGGCUAACUUCGUGCCAGCAGCCGCGGUAAUACGAAGGGGGCUAGCGUUGCUCGGAAUCACUGGGCGUAAAGGGCGCGUAGGCGGCCAUUCAAGUCGGGGGUGAAAGCCUGUGGCUCAACCACAGAAUUGCCUUCGAUACUGUUUGGCUUGAGUAUGGAAGAGGUCGGUGGAACUGCGAGUGUAGAGGUGAAAUUCGUAGA
rnacentral:rRNA from 1 species